UACGAAGGGGGCUAGCGUUGCUCGGAAUUACUGGGCGUAAAGCGCACGUAGGCGGAUUGUUAAGUCGGGGGUGAAAUCCUGGAGCUCAACUCCAGAACUGCCUUCGAUACUGGCGAUCUCGAGUUCGGGAGAGGUGAGUGGAACUGCGAGUGUAGAGGUGAAAUUCGUAGAUAUUGGGAAGAACACCGGUGGCGAAGGCGGCGACCUGGUCCGG
rnacentral:rRNA from 1 species